CUUUUCCUGUUUGCUGCUGUCUAUUGCCAGCAAAGCUACUUGGAAAAGACCAACGAGUUGUAUGGGAAAGUAUCAGCAAGACCUCCACAGACGCUGCAGAUCGCAGCAGCAAACAGAAGCAGAUUCUCCUCUCCCGGCCCCUUCAGAGUCCAGGUUUAUCUCCAAGACCAAGGUCAAACACAGUGGACACAGUGGACACAGUGGACAUGCAGAGGUGCGCGGACCCGUGCUUGCACCUUACCUGCACUUCAUCAAAGAGUGUCCUCACUUGUUGCAGUGGUACUGGGAUGCUUCCAAGACCACUCAGGGGCAGAUGAGACACCUCAACCAACCAUUUACGGAGCUUCUCUGCCAUUUCUCUAUAGCGUUGCCAUUGGCGAAUCUGGCUGUCGAUGAUACCUCUUCUCUGUUGGGCCCUGCGAAUCACUCCUUGCCAUUGGUUACUGAGGAGUGUCAACUUCAGGCUGAACUCCUCCCUGGAGAAGAAAUAAUUAGAUGGGGGAGGGGACACAUAACCCAUAGUCUUGGGUAGAGUCACAGGAUCAGCCAGUAUACAUUUUCCAUAAAUGGUAUGCCCUGAGAAAAAGGAUCUAUGACAAACGACUUCAAAUUAGCUGUGGUCUGUUUGCUGGGUUGAAAGUAAUCAAGUUAGACUGCCAGUCUGCAAGUGGUGAGUGUUUUCGUAUCUCAGAACAGAUAAAAAAGCAAAUCUAUGGCAAUUAUCAUGUACUCUUUCCUUAAGUAUGUAUGUGUGUGGCAGUGACAGUCUCUUGUGCCUUACAAAGCAUAUGACAAGGAACCUGCCCACAAACUCCCUCCCCAGCUAGAAUCAUAUGCCAUUUUGGAAAAUCAAAAUCAACCCACUUAAAUUACACUACAUUAAAAUUUUUGUUUUUUCUUUAAAAAAUGUACUUCAUAAACAUUCUUAAUAUUCUUCUACAAGUGAUAACUCCAAUCUCAAGCAAAUUAUUAUGAGAAAUUGUCAUUGUCCUUUUCACAUUUUAGGUAAAUUUUUCGUUUUUCUUUCUUUUUUUUUUUUAAGAAAAAUUAACUUUAGUCAACACAAUAUGUAUGAAGGCUGUUUAGACACUGAGAAAGUAAAUUUUUUUUUUUGGUUCUUUUUUUCGGAGCUGGGGACCGAACCCAGGGCCUUGCGCUUCCUAGGCAAGCGCUCUACCACUGAGCUAAAUCCCCAGCCCCGAGAGAGUAAAUUUAACUUGAACCUUCUCCAAUUCUAGCUGAGGUACUACAGAUGUUUGAACACAUUCUUCCUUUUUUCCAUCCUAAAAAAUAUUGUCAUUGUUUAUGAAGUUUUAUUUACUAUGCAAACUGUAGCACAGACGUGACUUUCAAUAAGCAUCAAAUGGGAUGAGUUUCCUGGUAGAUUUUAGGGUCAAUCACAAAUGUAACAUCUCCUUAUCCUUCUUCUAACACCUGUACCAUGCUCUCUGGAAUUGAUUACCACUCUAGAGCUCUACACCAGAAGGCGACCUCUAUUACUAAUACAUCCCAUUGCUUGAGAUGGUUGUUUGAAUUUACAACCACAGGUGCCAUAUCUUCUAAAAAAUAUUGAAUAGCUGAACUGGAAAGAAAAGAUUAUUCUACAGUAAACGUCAACUAAUUACUAUAAAACAGUAAAAGUACUGGGUAAAAAACCACCCAAAGAAUCUCUUACGCUCCAUUUAAAAAUGAGUUCCUUAGGGCAACUGACAGAUUCUGACGAUCAUGUUUGCUUGUGAACUGAAAUUCUGCUCUGUGUCACACAGGCACGUACCAUAGUAGAGUCUGUCACAGUAGGAUCCAAGCACAGGCAGCUAGUCUCAUGACAUGUCCUUUAAAGGACAUGUCACCUCAGAAAAUGUGUGACCCCCCCAAAGUCCUGAAAAUAGCAGGUCCCGAGAAUAACCGAGACAUCAGUAUUAAAAUCAGGAUCCCUGUCUUUACUAUGUAAACAGUCCCGACCCACCUGCCCUUGACGAUCUACUGAAAAGGACUCUUCAGCUGAAGUUUUCAGAACAAAACCCUGUAUGCUGACUUUUAUAACUUAAGUCCUUGUUGUCUGGAACCUUCCCGGUACCCAUAGACUCGGAUCCAAUUUGUCUGUUUUUCACUAGCAACUCUCAAAAUUCUUUAUUUAGUUCCAACUUUCCCAUUUUCAUCUCUUUUGUGGUGUUUUUUUUUAAAUCUCCUAAAUGUUAGCAUUUAAAUUUUAAUAGAUGUUGGCUGGAAUGGGAAUUUCAAACUUUAUUUUACUUAAUGACUUGAAUGUUUAUAAUACUACUAAAGAGCUGGCUACAGGAUGAUAAAGCAAAAGAUAAAAGAGGUAAUUACACUCGAAUUUGGUUUAUUCAGAGAGUCUUAAAUUCCCAGUAAUGGUCACAUUUGAGGUUGGCUUGCUUAGAAUAGAGGAAGUACAGCAGCAGGCAUUAUUGUUCCAAUCCUAGCCGUACAAAUCUGUCAUGAACUUUGUAGGAAAUUACCACUGGAGGCUGAAAUUGCUUUUAGAAUACUAAUCAUAAAAAUGAUUUAUUUCCUAAUGAUUUAAAAACACACAGUUAAUUAUAAUCACAACUACUGGUCCCGGGUAUGAGAAAUGUAUACAUAGAUACUAAAGUCAAUUCCCCAAAUAUAAACAUGGAAACUAGACUAUGUGAGUGGCAUUCCUAGGAUAGUUGACGAGGCUGUCAAGUCACAUGUUGGGAGAGAAGCUAGAAUCUAUGUUUUAAAUAACGAGUUAGUUUGUUGGGAUGUGGAAAGAAGAUUUCACAUUUAACACAGUAUGGCUUAAGGUGGCAAACAAUCUUCCUACACAGAAGUAUGGCCUAGGGAAAUAAGGCCACAGAGCCCUCUUAACAUCAGACCUGGUCGUGCUCCCGUUUACUUAUGCGACCUUGCUCAAAACAGUUCCCAUGUGCGUCUGGAGUUUUCUACCUCUCAGAGUCAGACAAGUGAUACCUCUGCUCCUUUUAGGGAUAGAAUUUUAGUAAGAGCAGGGAGAUAUUAGUAGCAACUGUUCACUGACCAUCGCUGCAAUCCAUUCCGAUCUAUUCACUAACUCCAGCCCCUACUGACUAGCGAAGGUUGGCUAGGUGAUUUCCAAUUACCCUACGUCCUUCAUAUCAUAUAAUAGCAUCCUCUGCAAAGAUUCAAUGCUCACUCAUUUCAGAGACUCAGAUAAGCCUUUCCUCCAAUUACCGAGGCCCUGUGAUGAUACAAUUGCCUUAGGAAGAUUGGAUAUAUGCCCUCUAAUCUCUCAUUAAAAAGAAAAUGACUAAUUUACUGGAGAAACUUUCUUCAUAAUAAUUUAUCA